rnacentral:rRNA from 1 species
AUUGAACGCUGGCGGCAGGCCUAACACAUGCAAGUCGAGCGGUAGAGAGGUGCUUGCAUCUCUUGAGAGCGGCGGACGGGUGAGUAAUGCCUAGGAAUCUGCCUAGUGGUGGGGGAUAACGUUCGGAAACGGACGCUAAUACCGCAUACGUCCUACGGGAGAAAGCGGGGGAUCUUCGGACCUCGCGCCAUUAGAUGAGCCUAGGUCGGAUUAGCUAGUUGGUGAGGUAAUGGCUCACCAAGGCGACGAUCCGUAACUGGUCUGAGAGGAUGAUCAGUCACACUGGAACUGAGACACGGUCCAGACUCCUACGGGAGGCAGCAGUGGGGAAUAUUGGACAAUGGGCGAAAGCUGAUCAGCCAUGCGCGUGUGUGAAGAAGGUCUUCGGAUUGUAAAGCACUUUAAGUUAGGGUAGGAAGGGUAGGUAACCUAAUACGUUA